rnacentral:lncRNA from 1 species
CAAGACUUUUGAUAAACCUGCGAUCAAGCGAACAAAAACAGCCACUAAUUUCAGGUACGAAUGAUCUUUUUUUUUUUUUUUUUUUCUGAUCAAUUCUCAAGCUUAAUUCACUCUCUGUUUCUGUUCAGUUUGGUAGUUCAAAAUUUGUAAGAAUCGAACAAGUUCAUGAACAUUUUUUUUUCCACUUUCUCGAAGCUGGUUCAUAUUUAUUUAUUUUAUUUUAUUUUUUGUUUGUACCUUGUUUCCCGCUGCUCUGAACUGAAUUCUUCAUUUUGUGUGUUAUAUUUUUCUUAUUGCCACUAAUUUAUCGAUUGAAAAGUUUGAUGGGGAUUUCAUUAUCUUGCGAAGCAUUUUAUUAUAUUUGCAUCAGGGGUGUUGUUGUUUGAUUGAUUUUCUGAAUUUCGUUAAUAUCUUUAAUUCUAUGGAGUAAUAUUAGCACUCUUUCUUUUUCGGGUUUUUGAAAAUAAAAUUCAUCAGUUUCAAACGAUUUUUUUUUUCGCAUUUAUUAAUUUAUUGAAUUGUUAAUAUAUCUGGUGUUUCCAGAUUCGAUUUUGAUAAUUUUACAUUUAAAUCAGAAUUUAUCAUUUUUCAAUCACUUUCAUUGUCCAAGAAAAACAGGUUUACUGAAUAUUUCUGUAUGCAAAUUAUUUCCUCUUAAAAAUAAGGAUAUAGUAAGUGUGUGUUGUUAUCCUCUUAAAAUCAAUUGAAUUUCGUCUGAAUAUAUUUAUCCAAUUCUUUUUUUCCAUCAUCAGUCUUGAAAACCAUCAAAAAGGGAUCCUGAUUAUCAAAUUUUCCUCUGUUUCAAUACAAAACCAUGGCUUAUUUUUAAAGUCUACAAAUUUUCUUGUCUAGCACAUCUAUUAAGGUAACUAAAACUGAACAGAGAUCUCCAUUUUUCUCCAGUGUAGAAGAACAAUGAUAAUGACACUCUUGCGCUCGGAAUGUUCGGCUUUCUAGUGCAGCCUUGGAACUAUUAUAGGACUUAUCUAUGCAUAUCUUCUUAUCUUUUGCAAUUUGUUGUAGUUGUUGAAUGUUUGAGUUUUUGUUUCUUGCUAAGGCUUGAGCAGAACGGUGGAGGAUACAUAUGAAUCUGGUGGGAACAGCAAGAAUUUUCCAUCGAAAUUCUCAAUUUGUUUGAAGCCUGAAAUUUCUUAGCGAUCGAAGAUUGAAAGGUAAAGAAAGCUGAACAAAGAAAUGGGAUGUUCUCCAUCGAAGUUGGAUGAUGAAGCGGUUCUACAGUAACAAGCAGUUGAGCAAAGAAUGAAAUUUGCCUCUGGAUGCAUUGCUUAUAUACGAUCCAUUAAAAGAGUUUCUGCUUCACUUAGAGAAUAUAUCAGUGGGCAUGAGCAUGUGAGUAUCUCAGAUUCUUUUACACCAGACUUCACCCCCAUAAAGGAAACAAGUGCUGCUUUCAUUUGCAUAUCACCGAGGUCCUUCUCAGUGACACCAUUUAAAUCUGAACCAAACUCACGUUGUAAAAUAAACAACCUCAAGUCUGGUGGAAAUCCUUCUAUUACGGUUGAGAUGAGACCACCUCAAUCACCAGAAGCUAUCAGAAUUGAAGCUUAUGCCCCUGUGCAUAAUUUCGAAAUGGACAGCUUUUUGGAAAUGCAUUCAUCUUCUGUGAGCUCUUCAAUUUUCCAUAGCUCCCCCAUUGAUAGACCUAAUUGUUCUCCAAUUUCAGCUCAACCAUCUCAAUGGGUUUUCUUCUGGAAUCCCUUUUCUUCAUUAGAUUACUAUGGCUAUACCACCAGCA